UGACUGGAGUAAUGAUGCUAAAAAUUCAGCUUUGAAAGUCAGAUUUGAUUGUUCCUAAUAAACUGUUUAACUGCACUCGCAAGUGAAUAUUAAAUUAUGUUGUGGGAUAAUUAAAUAUAUUCUAAAUAAACUACAAACAUAAAAUAUAUAUACAUUUAUUUUGUCCUCACAUUCUUUCUUGUAACUCUUCCCUCUCAGUCACAUACCUGACUGAACGGCUCAUUAUGCAGCUCAUUAUGUGGGCCUUUAUAUUCUCAGGUGUGAAUCACAAUGAUAUUCAUGAUCAGUCACACCUACUCGCAUAUGCCCUUUUGAAAUAAAAAAUGUCUUAGAAAAUGUAAAUUAAUCUGUUAUUUUCUGUGAGCGAGUAAACAAUUAUCUGACCUUAAUUUAUCUGUUGACUUUGGAGAAAGUGUGGUUUAACCUCAGUUUAACCUCUAAAAACUUGGCUCAUCAUCUUAUAUAUUUCAAAGUUAUUCAUAGAGCAUGUAUAAUAACUCAGAGUGUGUGGAUGAUGUCUGUUGUUGUUGUUUUGGCAUUUUGUGAUGUUUGUUGUAUGUAUAAAAAUAAAUAAAAAAUUUGAUCACAAAAAAAAAACACAAUCAUGUACAUACAUGCUAUUUACUUGCAGGUUCAUGCAGCACUUGUAAUUAAUUAAAUGUGAAUGGCUCAAGUCUGGUCUAAAUUAACAAAAACAUGUCUCUGUCAUUUAACACGCAUUCCUCCACACGAUGGCAUCUGAAUCAGAAUUUGACGUUCUGUCCUGGAAUAUCUGUGGUCUGAAAACAAGAAUUAAAGAAAAAGAAGCUCUACUGGCAAUCUCUGGAAAAUAUGACGAGAAAGAUGGGCAUAAAAUCACUGAGGCCUUUUGAGGGGAAUAUGACAUAGAAACACUGAAGGAUAAGGAAUUCAAAGAGCAACUGAAUAGGAAGAAGAAGACGAUGUAUUUGACUCUCUUCAGUUCAAGCAGCAAAGGUGUUGCCAUUCUUAUCAACAAACCACACGUCUGGAAGCAUUUUGUGAUGGUGGAGAUUAUGCUUGGGUUCAUGCUGAGAUUGGCAUUCAGAAGUACACCUUUGUGAGCACAUAUUCUGCACAACCAUAUUCUGCAUCCCUAAUCCUACCCAAUACCUAAACUUAAUAACUACCUUACUAACUAUUAAUAAACAGCACAUUAGGAGGAUUUUAAUAAGGUCCUUAAAUACACACUCUAAAAAUGCUGGGUUAAAUAAAACCCAGUGCUGAGUAAAAUGUGGACUGGGUUGUUUUCACCCAACAGUUGGGUUAACUGUUUAACCCAACCUUCUGGGCAGUACACAACCUUUGUGGUUUGUCCACAUUUUACCCAGCACUGGGUUGUAUUUAACACAGCA
ensembl:lncRNA